rnacentral:rRNA from 1 species
UACAGAGGUCCCAAGCGUUGUUCGGAUUCACUGGGCGUAAAGGGUGCGUAGGCGGUCGGGUAAGUCUGACGUGAAAUCUUCAAGCUCAACUUGGAAACUGCGUCGGAUACUAUUCGGCUAGAGGAAUGGAGGGGAGACUGGAAUACUUGGUGUAGCAGUGAAAUGCGUAGAUAUCAAGUGGAACACCAGUGGCGAAGGCGAAUCCCUGGAAAAUACCUGACACUGAGGCACGAAAGCUAGGGGAGCAAACAGG